GACGAACGCUGGCGGCGUGCCUAAUACAUGCAAGUCGAGCGAACAGACCAGGAGCUUGCUCCUCUGACGUCAGCGGCGGAAGGGUGAGUAGCACGUCGAUAACCUACCUAUAAGACAGGCAUAACUUAGGGAAACCGGAGCUAAUAACGGCUUAUAUAUUCAACCGCAUGGUUCAAUAGUGAAAGACGGUUUUGCUGGCACUUAUACAUGGCUCCGCGCCGCAGUAGCUAGUUGGUAAGGUAACGGCUUACCAAGGCAGCGAUGCGUAGCCGACCGGAGAGGGUGAUCGGCCACACUCGUACUGAGACACCGUCCCGACUCCUACGGGAGGCAGCAGUAGGGAAUCUUCCGCAAUGAGCGGAAGCCUGACGGAGCAACGCCGCGUGAGUGAUGAGGGUCUUCGCAUCGUAAAACUCUGUUAUUAGCGAGGAACAAAUGUGUAAGUAACUAGGCACGUCUUGACGGUACCUAAACAGAAAGCCACGGCUAACUACGUG
rnacentral:rRNA from 1 species